UCAUAUGGAUGAGCAAAAGAAGUGGCUUCUUAAGAGAGAAUCUAUGCCUGGUGAAGAUGCUAUAAA
rnacentral:pre_miRNA from 1 species